rnacentral:rRNA from 1 species
GGAUUAGAUACCCUGGUAGUCCAUGCUGUAAACGAUGUGUGCUAGACGUUGGAAAUUUAUUUUUCAGUGUCGCAGCAAAAGCGUUAAGCACACCGCCUGGGGAGUACGACCGCAAGGUUAAAACUCAAAUGAAUUGACGGGGACCCGCACAAGCAGUGGAGCAUGUGGUUUAAUUCGAAGAUACGCGCAGAACCUUACCAACACUUGACAUGUUCGUCGCGACUCUAAGAGAUUAGUCUCUUCAGUUCGGCUGGACGAAACACAGGUGCUGCAUGGCUGUCGUCAGCUCGUGCCG